rnacentral:rRNA from 1 species
GAUGAACGCUGGCGGCGUGCCUAAUACAUGCCAGUCGAGCGAACAGACGAGGAGCUUGCUCCUCUGACGUUAGCGGCGGACGGGUGAGUAACACGUGGAUAACCUACCUAUAAGACUGGGAUAACUUCGGGAAACCGGAGCUAAUACCGGAUAAUAUAUUGAACCGCAUGGUUCAAUAGUGAAAGACGGUUUUGCUGUCACUUAUAGAUGGAUCCGGGCGGCAUUAGCUAGUUGGUAGGGUAACGGCUUACCAAGGCAACGAGGCGUAGCCGACGUGAUAGGGUGGUCGGCCGCACUGGAACUGGGACACGGUCCAGACGCCUACGGGAGGCAGCAGUAGGGAAUCUUACGCAAUGGGCGAAAGCCUGACGGAGCGACGCCGCGUGAGUGAUGAAGGUCUUCGGAUCGUAAAACUCUGUUAUUAGGGAAGAACAAAUGUGUAAGUAACUAUGCACGUCUUGACGGUACCUAAUCAGAAAGCCACGGCUAACUACGUG